GUUGAACGCUGGCGGCAGGCCUAACCAUGCAAGUCGAGCGGAUGAAGGGAGCUUGCUCCUGGAUUCAGCGGCGGACGGGUGAGUAAUGCCUAGGAAUCUGCCUGGUAGUGGGGGAUAACGUCCGGAAACGGGCGCUAAUACCGCAUACGUCCUGAGGGAGAAAGUGGGGGAUCUUCGGACCUCACGCUAUCAGAUGAGCCUAGGUCGGAUUAGCUAGUUGGUGGGGUAAAGGCCUACCAAGGCGACGAUCCGUAACUGGUCUGAGAGGAUGAUCAGUCACACUGGAACUGAGACACGGUCCAGACUCCUACGGGAGGCAGCAGUGGGGAAUAUUGGACAAUGGGCGAAAGCCUGAUCCAGCCAUGCCCGUGUGUUGAAGAAGGUCUUCGGAUUGUUAAAGCACUUUAAGUUGGGAGGAAAGGCAGUAAGUUAAAUACCUUUGCUGUUUUUGACGUUUCAACAGAAAUAAGCACCGUAACUUUCUUUCCAAAACCGCGG
rnacentral:rRNA from 1 species